UACGUAGGGGGCAAGCGUUGUCCGGAUUUAUUGGGCGUAAAGAGCGUGUAGGCGGCCAGGGAGGUCCGUUGUGAAAACUCGAGGCUCAACCUCGAGACGCCGAUGGAAACCCCCUGGCUAGAGUCCGGAAGAGGAGAAUGGAAUUCCUGGUGUAGCGGUGAAAUGCGCAGAUAUCAGGAAGAACACCCGUGGCGAAAGCGGCUCUCUGGAACGGUACUGACGCUGAGACGCGAAAGCGUGGGGAGCGAACAGG
rnacentral:rRNA from 1 species